AACGCACCUUGCGCUCCUUGGUAUUCCGAGGAGCAUGCCUGUUUGAGUGUCAUUAAUAUAUAUAUCAACCCUCUCUUUGUUGAGUGGUUUGGAUGUGGGGGUUUGCUGGCCUCUUAAAUGGUUCAGCUCCCCUGAAAUGCAUUAGCAGAACAACCCUGUUCAUUGGUGUGAUAAACUAUCUACGCUAUUGAAUGUGAAGGGCAGUUUGGCUUUCUAACAGUCCUCGGACAAACUCAUCAUUAAUGUGACCUCAAAUCAGGUAGGACUACCCGCUGAACUUAA
rnacentral:misc_RNA from 1 species